GGAUGCGAUCAUACCAGCACUAACGCAACGGAUCCCACCAGAACUCCGAAGUGAAGCGUGCCUGGGCGAGAGUAANGCGAGAGUAGUACUAGGAUGGGUGACCCCCUGGGAAGUCCUCGUGUUGCAUCCU
rnacentral:rRNA from 1 species